rnacentral:rRNA from 1 species
AUUGAACGCUGGCGGAAUGCUUUACACAUGCAAGUCGAGCGGCAGCGCGGGGGCAACCCUGGCGGCGAGCGGCGAACGGGUGAGUAACGCAUCGGAACGUACCCUGUCGUGGGGGAUAACUAUCCGAAAGGAUGGCUAAUACCGCAUACGACCUGAGGGUGAAAGCGGGGGAUCGCAAGACCUCGCGCGAUAGGAGCGGCCGAUGCCGGAUUAGCUAGUUGGUGAGGUAAAGGCUCACCAAGGCGACGAUCCGUAGCUGGUCUGAGAGGACGACCAGCCACACUGGGACUGAGACACGGCCCAGACUCCUACGGGAGGCAGCAGUGGGGAAUAUUGGACAAUGGGCGCAAGCCUGAUCCAGCAAUGCCGCGUGUGUGAAGAAGGCCUGCGGGUUGUAAAGCACUUUCAGUGGGGAAGAACGGAUACGGGCCAAUACCCGCAUCACUGACGUUACCCACAGAAGAAGCACCGGCUAACUCCGUGCCCAGCAGCCGCGGUAAU